rnacentral:rRNA from 1 species
GAUGAACGCUGGCGGCGUGCCUAAUACAUGCAAGUCGAGCGAACGGACGAGAAGCUUGCUUCUCUGAUGUUAGCGGCGGACGGGUGAGUAACACGUGGAUAACCUACCUAUAAGACUGGGAUAACUUCGGGAAACCGGAGCUAAUACCGGAUGAUCUUUUGAACCGCAUGGUUCAAAAGUGAAAGACGGUCUUGCUGUCACUUAUAGAUGGAUCCGCGCUGCAUUAGCUAGUUGGUAAGGUAACGGCUUACCAAGGCAACGAUGCAUAGCCGACCUGAGAGGGUGAUCGGCCACACUGGAACUGAGACACGGUCCAGACUCCUACGGGAGGCAGCAGUAGGGAAUCUUCCGCAAUGGGCGAAAGCCUGACGGAGCAACGCCGCGUGAGUGAUGAAGGUCUUCGGAUCGUAAAACUCUGUUAUUAGGGAAGAACAUAUGUGUAAGUAACUGUGCACAUCUUGACGGUACCUAAUCAGAAAGCCACGGCUAACUACGUG